UACGUAGGGGGCAAGCGUUGUCCGGAUUUAUUGGGCGUAAAGAGCGUGUAGGCGGCUAGGUAGGUCCGCUGUGAAAACUCGAGGCUCAACCUCGAGACGUCGGCGGAAACCAUCUAGCUAGAGUCCGGAAGAGGAGAGUGGAAUUCCCGGUGUAGCGGUGAAAUGCGCAGAUAUCGGGAGGAACACCCGUGGCGAAAGCGGCUCUCUGGGACGGUACUGACGCUGAGACGCGAAAGCGUGGGGAGCGAACAG
rnacentral:rRNA from 1 species